CAGAACCCACAGGCCUCUCUAACCUGGCAGACAGCAUCCUCGCUCUACAGGACCUCGUGGAAAGACAUACAGAUGCACCUGCUCUGCUGGGCCUGGCCCUUCUCCGGCCCACUGUGGGGACCCACUCCAUUCAUGCUGCAAGUCCUGCUUCACCAGGAUGCCCACCUCCUGGGCCCUGAGCCCUGUGCUCCAUCUGUCCUGGAUGCUCUGGAGGCUGAAGGUUGGAGAUCAGGGUGCCAGCGUGGGUGGGGUCUGCUGAGGACUCCCCCCUUGGCUCGUGGAUGGCCACCUUCUCAUUGUGUCUUCACGUGGCCUCCCUGGGUGCACACGCGUCUGGAGAGAGAGCCCUCUGAUGUCUUUUCGUCCACUGCCACCCAGCCCAUCAGACAUGAUCCGACCACAAAUAUUAUGGGCAGAAAAGCCAACACAGCAGACUCCUUGGAGAGACUGUUCCUUUCAGGUAAGAUAUAAAAAUCGUGCUUGCUACGUCUGCAGGUGUGUCUGGCUCUUCUUGGCAUGUGUCACCUCGCUUCUCCACGAGACGUCACUGGGGAGUUUGUUUAUUCCCCUUUUAGAGAGAAGUAAUCAGAGGGGAAGAGGUUAGGCUGCUCAAGGUUACGGAAAUUUGGCGGUGGAGUGGAGAUGAAGAUGUGGAAAGCAUGUCUUAGCUUCGAGCGGGUCUAGCCUUGGUGCUUGGACCUGGAGAUGGGGCUGCGGAGGAGGAUGGAGUUCUUGGCCCCUGGGAUAAAGGAACAGGCAUGGACCUCUUGUCUACUGCUUGUUUUUGUUACGAUGAUUAAUAGGACCGUUUGAAAAGUAAUCAUCUGUGCAAAGUACCUUCCAGUCCUGUGCCACGUGCUUCUGAUCGUAAAUGUCAGUUGUUGCCACCUUCACGAUAACAGGGGGGAGACAGUGUUGAGUGCAACUGUCAGGGCACCCAGGUGUCUCUGGUCAGCUGGCCCCUUCAGUAUUUGGGAAGGUGAGAUUUCAGUCUUGAAGGUCCAGUCUUAGCACCUUGUCACAGCUGGCAUUUUAUGUGCGGGGGCUCCGCACCUGGCCUUUCCCCAGGUCACCCAUGUGCUCUCCCCACUCUUCAGGCGAGUGGAAGUGUGCCCGACCCGGUCAGGAGGGGAGAACACGGCUGCCCUCUUUUCCUCUAGCUCAGGAAUCAGAACCAGGGCUGGUGCAGCCCCCUGGGGAGCCGGUAAUUCUGUUUUGAAUUGGAAUUGGAUGCAAAGAUGAAAAAGACAAGGUCUCUGCCCUGCCCCAAAUGUCGCUGGGUAAUGCCAGGCAGAGGGACACAAGGGCUGGGUCUGCUCAAGCAGCGCUCAUUGGGAACACAAAGGGAGUACAGACCUGAUUCACCGCAGAGGGAUACAGCUAGGGUGAGGCAGGGCUAAGCUGGCCUCUGCAGGCUUCUGGAAUUAGAUCCUGCUACAUCUGAAACGUGGCAAAGCCAGGUCCUUACAGGUUCUCUCUCGUGUAUUUUACGUCUGCAUGAUUUUGGGGGGGUCGUUAGCUGGCUUCAAGAGAAUGUGCUCAUCACACAAUAUCUUGAGUCUCUGCUUCUAUGGGCAGGAUUGGCCUUAGGCUAAGGAAACUGCUUAUGAAAGUGAAAAUGUCUCUUCUGCUGCUGGUGUCUUUUGAGUGAAGGCGUUGGGGCUUUUGUAAAGGGAAAAUGUUAUUUGAUGUUGUUAUUGGUUGUAACACCCUGGUUCCAUUUAGCAAAACAGAUUCGCUCCCACCCUACCAGGGCCCUGCAGGGCGGGACUUGGGGCAGGUCCUGUUUGGUUGUGAGAGGGAGGGAGGGAACCAGGAAGGUAGUCUCGCCUAAAUGCUUCAGGGACAGUGAACCUUGGCCUGAGGACGCUGGGCAGGUGUUUAGCCGGGGCUGCAAGAGCCCACACAGCUUGUCAGCAAUGCAUGGUACAGGAUGCUGCCAGGGUGUUUGCACCUGCUUAUUCAUCCCUGCGCCUGGGGCCUGUUAGGCAGGAACCCCACACCUCUGCUACCCACUGGCCUCCCUUGCCACACCUGUCUCAACCAUCAACUCUGGCUUUUGUCAUGUGACUGAAAUCCUCAUCCCUUCAGCCGUGUCCCUGGUCUGGAUUCUGUGCCUUACCUGUGGGAAAAGAGGUGCCUGUCUUGAGCCCCCAAGGUGUUCUGGGGUCUUCAUUUGUAAAAUGUAAGCAGUUUUGCCACUUAGGUGUCUACAGUCAUUAAUCUAUAGGUUUUACAAAUUUGGUGAGUUAUUUUUGACAUCACAAAUGUGGAAAGCUAGGCAGUGAAAGAAGAAGCAUUUUUAAAUGAGUGAAGGUGCCAUUGUCUGUUGAGCUGGAGUAUGAUAGGCAGAAAGGAAUGAGUUGGCUAGUUCACUGGGACAGGGAGGGUUCUGGUUAUCCCCAGAAUUGGGGCUCAUCUCCAGAUGAGUGUUCCAGUGGAGAAGGCCCAGAGACCAGCCACAGCACCCCCUAAUGGACCUCACAUUGACUUGCCACCUCACCAAAUGUCAGCAGGGGGACCGCAAGUGUGGAGUCAUCCCCAGUCCCUCUCCCAGUUCCCUGAGAUAAGAAACUUGCCUUUCCAAAAGGACAGUCAGGGGUUCCCUGGUGGACUAGUUGUU